rnacentral:rRNA from 1 species
CACAUGCAAGGUCGAGCGUGAAGACCCCCUUCGGGGGGUGGAAAGCGGCAGACGGGUGAGUAACACGUGGGUAACCUGUCCCUGAGUGGGGGAUAACCACUCGAAAGGGUGGCUAAUACCGCAUAAGACCACGGCUCUGCGGAGCUGCGGUCAAAGGCGCAAGCUGCUCAGGGAGGGGCCCGCGGCCGAUUAGCUAGUUGGUGAGGUAACGGCCCACCAAGGCGACGAUCGGUAGCUGGUCUGAGAGGAUGAUCAGCCACACUGGUACUGAGACACGGACCAGACUCCUACGGGAGGCAGCAGUGGGGAAUAUUGCGCAAUGGGCGAAAGCCUGACGCAGCAACGCCGCGUGGGUGAUGAAGGCCUUCGGGUCGUAAAGCCCUGUCAGAUGGGAAGAAACCUCCCCGUGAGGGGAGCUGACGGUACCAUCGAAGGAAGCACCGGCUAACUCCGUGCCAGCAGCCGCGGUAA